rnacentral:lncRNA from 1 species
AGAGGAGAUUCCCUCUAACAGAUAACAUCAGAGCUGAUCAAAAUACUAGGAUGCUGAUCAAGAAUAAUACUACAAAGCACAUUGGAAAUGUUGUUGGCAUCUUCACAUCCAAAGGCUUAGCAUGCUUAGUAGUUUGAAAAAUAUAAGAGUCAAAAUCCCAUUUGGUCUUGGUACCAACAGUGUAGAUAAAGUUACUCAAGCCUAUAGCACUGUCAGAAAACUCUACCUCAGCUUC